AGGCCAGGCACUACUCUGUCCCAACAAUAAGCCCUGUACAUUGGGAAAGGUGCCGAGACAUGAACUUUGGUCUUCUCUGCAAUCCAUCUGGAGCAUUCAGUGACAACAUCGACUUUGAAGUUGCACUGACCUGGCCAGCCCUGCCACUUACCAGGUUGGGCUGUGGCUUGCCUUUUCACUUCUUGUGUCCUGUUUAAGAAAUAUCUACUAUCCCAAGAUAACACUAACAAAGUUGACCUUAGAAUUGGAGUGCCUGGGUUAGAACCCUGCUGGUACCACCUGCUUACUGCAUGCUUCUGAUGUGAGUUCAGGAGAAGACACUGGCAAGGACAGCAAAGAACAGGAGAACACUCUAGCUUCCCUGAUAGCAUUCAAGGUGCUGUCCAAAUUCUUGAAUCCAGUUCAUGAAUCAAGGGAGAUCCUUGGAUGUCUGAUGGCUGCUAUUCUGUUUCUCAAACAAUUUGAAUUCAGCAAGCCAUCACUGAAGAUAUGGAGUCACACAGUCAAGUUUAAAUCCAUGCUAUGCUAUUUAAAACUUGCAAUUUUUGCUUCAGUUUCUGAAACGGUAAGGGGCACAGGGAUAAUACAGUCUGCUUACCAUAUGGGUGAAGAUGUGGGGGAAGAUUAAAUACAUUGUUCUUACAUGAAAUUGUAAAUAGAAAGCUCCUCCACAGUAAGCUAUCAGCUAAAGCUAGUUUACUUUCCACUGCUCUUCAAUAACGGAAAGAGUAAUUUUUCAUUACUGAAGGAUAGACACUGAUGGCAUUUUUUUGUUUCGUAUAUUUUAUAUAUGCUUGGAUUUUAUAUUGAUCUUUGCUGUAAAUUUGCUUAAUUUUAAAUAGGAAAAUUAUCUUUCCUUGGCCUAUGUUUCAGCCUUUACUCCAGUUCAAUGAUUUCAACACUGGCUGGAAAUUGGAAUGUUAACAAAAAUAUCAAUGCCUAUUUUCAUUCCCAAAGAUUCUAGUAUAAUUGGUCUGAAUUGUGGCCUGGGUAUUGGGAUUAAUUUAAUAAAAUAAUCUUUUGUAAAUAA
rnacentral:lncRNA from 1 species